UACAGAGGUCUCAAGCGUUGUUCGGAUUCAUUGGGCGUAAAGGGUGCGUAGGCGGCGCGGUAAGUCGGGUGUGAAAUCUCGGAGCUUAACUCCGAAACUGCAUUCGAUACUGCCGUGCUUGAGGACUGGAGAGGAGACUGGAAUUUACGGUGUAGCGGUGAAAUGCGUAGAUAUCCUGAGGAACACCGGUGGCGAAAGCGGCGCGCUAGACACCUACUGACGCUGAGGCACGAAAGCCAGGGGAGCAAACGGG
rnacentral:rRNA from 1 species